rnacentral:rRNA from 1 species
GGCCGUGCGGCGUGCUUACACAUGCAAGUCGAACGAUGAACCCACUUCGGUGGGGGAUUAGUGGCGAACGGGUGAGUAACACGUGGGCAAUCUGCCCUGCACUCUGGGACAAGCCCUGGAAACGGGGUCUAAUACCGGAUACGACCACUUCAGGCAUCUGAUGGUGGUGGAAAGCUCCGGCGGUGCAGGAUGAGCCCGCGGCCUAUCAGCUUGUUGGUGAGGUAACGGCUCACCAAGGCGACGACGGGUAGCCGGCCUGAGAGGGCGACCGGCCACACUGGGACUGAGACACGGCCCAGACUCCUACGGGAGGCAGCAGUGGGGAAUAUUGCACAAUGGGCGAAAGCCUGAUGCAGCGACGCCGCGUGAGGGAUGACGGCCUUCGGGUUGUAAACCUCUUUCAGCAGGGAAGAAGCGAAAGUGACGGUACCUGCAGAAGAAGCGCCGGCUAACUACGUGCCAGCAGCCGCGGUAAUACGUAGGGCGCAAGCGUUGUCCGGAAUUAUUGGGCGUAAAGAGCUCGUAGGCGGCUUGUCGCGUCGGAUGUGAAAGCCCGGGGCUUAACCCCGGGUCUGCAUUCGAUACGGGCAGGCUAGAGUUCGGUAGGGGAGAUCGGAAUUCCUGGUGUAGCGGUGAAAUGCGCAGAUAUCAGGAGGAACACCGGUGGCGAAGGCGGAUCUCUGGGCCGAUACUGACGCUGAGGAGCGAAAGCGUGGGGAGCGAACAGGAUUAGAUACCCUGGUAGUCCACGCCGUAAACGUUGGGAACUAGGUGUGGGCGACAUUCCACGUCGUCCGUGCCGCAGCUAACGCAUUAAGUUCCCCGCCUGGGGAGUACGGCCGCAAGGCUAAAACUCAAAGGAAUUGACGGGGGCCCGCACAAGCGGCGGAGCAUGUGGCUUAAUUCGACGCAACGCGAAGAACCUUACCAAGGCUUGACAUACACCGGAAACACUCAGAGAUGGGUGCCCCUUGUGGUCGGUGUACAGGUGGUGCAUGGCUUGUCGUCAGCUCGUGUCGUGAGAUGUUGGGUUAAGUCCCGCAACGAGCGCACCUUGUCCCGUGUUGCAGCAGCCUUGUGGGUGCUGGGGACUCACGGGAGAACCGCCGGGUCCACCUCGAAGAAAGUUGACGCACGUCCAGUCAUCG